GCUCUUAGCUCUGCACUUCCUAACUGUGCUGCGUGGGUGCUUCAGUCCUUUCCUGUUAAAUGGGCACAUUGCUACCCUUUCACACGGCUGCUGAGAAGAAGAUGUCCUUGCAGGCGCAUCUGCACACAGAAAGCACACAGGAAACGCUAUUUCCCCACUUCCCGCUAUACAAAGAGACUGAAAGCAACCGCGGCUGCCCGGAGGGCCGAACUGGAGGGUGGGCGCAGCCGUGGCUGCCUUGGGAACCGCGCUGCCUCGACUCAGCUACCCCUCGCUGGGCGGUCCUGCGAAGCACUCGCUGGGUCGGGCAGACCCGGGUCGUUUAGCGGCCGAGGAGGCGCCAGCGAUCCUCUGCCCCUGCAGAGCUACGGGAACCGGAAGGCGUUGAAACAGAGCUGUCGACGCGGGAGCACAACAGGCUGCCCACCAGGGAAGCGCAGAUCAUCAAAGCCGAAUCUGAGCUUGAAUUCUGUGCGGCUGAUUGCACAGAGCCGUCUUGAGGCCCUGAGGACUGGGAUCUGUGACCCCCAGUGAACAAAAGUCGGCCGUACCCCAGAGGCUAAUUUUCUCGUGGCAGGCACCUGUUGAGAGGCUGCAAGUAAAAUAAAGGCGAACGCUAGUUUCCGAGCUCA
rnacentral:lncRNA from 13 species